rnacentral:lncRNA from 1 species
AUGACAUCUCGGUCUUUCCGGCGCCUCUUCCCACAGCUCAAUGUGCAGUCCAUCCCUGAAGAUCAGUUCUACCGGCAGGCAAUUCUUUCGCAGCUCCUGACAGGUCCUGAUAAGCAGGAGCUGUCUUCAUUUAGGCUGGACGUCAAGGACCCUCUGGAGCUGGUAGAGGCCACUCCUGAGCUGGCUGGCAUGCUUGGCUCUUCACUGGAGUUUGUAGACAGUCGCUGGGACUCUCUAGAAGGUUCACCACCUCCUUCACCGCCCCCACCACCAUCACCAAGACAUCCACCGUCAUUACUACGACAGGGGGCCGCAGAAGGUGUUGCUCCUGUGGACAGUGUGUUGGAAAACAGAACUGUAGAAUCUGGAAAAUGUCAGGGAUUUAAAAACAUGGGAUAUACUACUUCAACAGCUAAAAUGGAAGCUAAACGAGAUGUUAGUAUGUGGGAACCACAAAGACAACAAAGCAAGAACACUAGAACCACUGGUCCUGCUGAUGUGGACUCCAACAUGUGGUAUAUCCAAAGUUUACAAAGUAAGAAUGUUGGAAUUGCUAAUUCUACUCAUUUGGACAUGGACAUGGACACUAAUAUGUGGGAACAAAAACCCCGACGUAGUAAGGAUAGUGGGAUAGCUAACUCUGCUAAUCUGGACUUUAAGGUCCAGUCCAACAUGUGGGAACCUCCAAGGCAACAAAGUAAAAAUACUUGGAUGACUAGUUCUGCUAAUGGGGAGUAUAAGAUGGACUCUAACGUAAUUAAAGAUACUGGAAUGACGAAUUCUAAUCUGAACUCCAACACAUGGGAACCUCAAGGACAACAACGUACUGGGAUCGCUGGUUCUGCUAAUCUAGACUCUAAGAUUGUCUCCAGCAUGUGGGAACAACAUCGCCAUGGAAGUAAAGCCACAGGAAUCACAGCUGGUAAAUCAUAUGCAACAGUUGGUGCUAGCAUGCAGGAGCCACAGCGACUACGAAACAGGAAUAUUGGAAAUUCUGACAUGGAAGUGGACGAUUCCCUGUCAGAACCACAGCGACUACGGAAAAAGAAUUCCAAUCUUACAAAUGUAAAUGGUGCACUGGGUUCAUAUGUGUGGAAACGUCAAAAUCAGAGGAGUAAGACUGGCGGAGCUUCUGCUUUGCUUAAUGGUAGCGUUUGGGAACCACAACGACUGCGAUGUAAGAAUGCUGCCGUCACAAGCCCUGCAAAGCCAGAUGCUGGGGAGAAAGCUAAAACAUGGGAAAGCCAGGGAAUAAAAAGAGUGGGUGGCAGCAGCACAGCACCCAAAAGAGAAGCUAAUUCCUGUGACACCCAAGGAGGUAAGAACACAAAGAUGGACAGUGCCUGCAACAGGAGCGUAGGCAAUGUCAGAGUCCAAGUCCAGGAUGUGGGAUUGAAAGGUAGUGGAGGUGCCACCAGAAGAGAUGUAAAAAAAGAUCUAGGGAAGGUUGUUGGAAAGGGAGCGAGAGAUAAAACCAGGUGA